UACGUAGGGGGCAAGCGUUGUCCGGAUUCAUUGGGCGUAAAGAGCGCGUAGGCGGCCCGAUAAGUCCGCUGUGAAAGUCAAGGGCUCAACCCUUGAAUGCCGGUGGAUACUGUCGGGCUAGAGUCCGGAAGAGGCGAGUGGAAUUCCUGGUGUAGCGGUGAAAUGCGCAGAUAUCAGGAAGAACACCUAUGGCGAAGGCAGCUCUCUGGGACGGUACUGACGCUGAGACGCGAAAGCGUGGGGAGCGAACAGG
rnacentral:rRNA from 1 species